rnacentral:rRNA from 1 species
AGAUUGAACGCUGGCGGCAGGCCUAACACAUGCAAGUCGAACGGUAACAGGAAGCAGCUUGCUGUUUCGCUGACGAGUGGCGGACGGGUGAGUAAUGUCUGGGAAACUGCCUGAUGGAGGGGGAUAACUACUGGAAACGGUAGCUAAUACCGCAUAACGUCGCAAGACCAAAGAGGGGGACCUUCGGGCCUCUUGCCAUCGGAUGUGCCCAGAUGGGAUUAGCUAGUAGGUGGGGUAACGGCUCACC